AAGUAAAUAUUGAAAUUGAUCUGCUUUGCCUUUCUGUUGCCAACAGGAUGUGAAUGAGUGAACCAAUACAAUAGCCUAUUUAAAUAUUGCAGAUGAGAGCUGGCAAACUUAACCCUGCAGUCAAAGUGCCUUUGGACUUAUGAAAUGUAUAUAUGCACAGCCCAGCCAGUGCAGGCCUGUGUGACAUAUGGAAUCAGUGGCAUUGCCAGGAUUUUAUGUGAUUGUGACUUUUACCCCGGUCUUCGGAAAUAAUCUUCCCUGGGGGUGAAGGGGUGUCCAUUGCAAACAACUUCCGUAUUUUCCAUCUCCGGUAUUUCGGUGGGGUCGCGGGUUCAAAAGUGUGGGAAUUCCAAAAACCGCAUUAUAUAUUCCACAAAUCUUACUGCAUACCCGUAUCAGUAGCACGAUUGCAUCUCUGUGCUGGGCAUUUUUUAUUUCCUAAAGAAGAUUAAGUGCACCAAUGAAGUGCACGUGGCCCAAGCAAAAACAACGACAGCGUCGCGUGACCACUGAUUUUUGAGAAAACCCUGAUGAAGAGGCUACGUGUCUAAAGUGAGGCUGAUUGUUGCUCAACAGGGCAACUCAGAGAUGAGAGGAGAAGCCCACCUCGGACGGGUGAAAUUUUACGCAGUGGAUCUGAGGUAUGGUCUGUUUACUCCUGCACGUCAAACGAUCUUGAACUUUGCCUGAUCGCUUCAGACGGUCCUACUGCAAAGUGGAAAUGACAGUUGGGAAUCGGCACCGGGAGAUGCCAGCGAUAGAGGCCGUCCUCCAAUCUGUUUGUACAUGCCUCUCAACUGUGCAGAAUGCAUUUCUCAACUGUAAUGUUUAAAUAGUUAUGUGUGUAUGUGUGUGUGUGUGUGUGUGUUAGAAAGAGAUAAGGAAAAGCAACAGAGGGAAUGUGUGUGUGUGUGUGUGUGUGUGAAAAUGUAUCCAUGCAAUCGUCAAAAUCGAGAAAAGUAUAGAAAACAAUGAAUACCUUUCAAUAUUUAAAAAUACGCAACUGGGUGCUAGCCAUUGCCACAUGUGAAGUGCAAAAUAUGAAUGGUGUACAUUGUACAGUAUAUAGUUUAACCUUUUGAAAGUAGCACAGUGUCACUAUGUUUGUCAUCAUCACAUCACACGUCUAUCAAAGUCGCAAUGUGACAGCAAAAUAUGUAUUCCACUUCCACUUUCCACAAUUUAUUUUGGGGGGAAAGUGGAAUUUUGGGCAGCAACUACCAACUGCCCUUCUCAUGAUGUUUCGGAGACACUGAAGGGCUUUGGCCAGGUUUCACGGGAGGCCCGAUGGGAAAAUUGAUUUUAUUUCGCCUCUUAAACGAGAACAAUAACAGAGACGGAGGGCACCUCCUGUUAAACAGGUUUUACCCCACCGGCCACUUUCCCCAGCACAAUGUAUGGUGCGUAAAAUCUCUCGCAUAUCGGUAGCCUAGCCUGCUGCGUCUGCUAUUGUCACUGAGAACCUGCAGAUCAGGCAGAGGCGCACAAACGCUCUCUCACACCGACGCGAGCGCGCGCAGCAUCGCGUGCGUCGCCAGUGCCGGCCCCUUCGCGGAGCUCUGCUAACCUUCUCUAAAAAUUCUUCGCGUUCUUAUGAAUAAUUGUCUUCUGGCCGCGUGCGUGCGUGUGUUUGUGUUUGUGUGUGUGUGUGUGUGCGUGUUUUACACAAAUGUAGGGAGAAAAACAUCAUGUGCUUUAGUUUGUCUCUUGUUUUAAAGCACUAAGUUACUUGACGAUAUGCAACAUCUGUGAGUGCAAAAGAGCAAUUCUUAUACUUAUUGAUUGGGCAUUUUAGGGAAAAAUAUUUUACAGGGCAAUACAGUUACAUAAUGUGUGUGUACAUACACUCUAUAACAUUAGUCUUUGUGGUACUAGGCCUUUUUUUUUUUUGGUUCCCAUUGAACGUAAGCUCCUGGGAAUUUCGGGGGCUGCGUUGUCUGGCUGAGGACGUGCAGGAGCAGGAAGUUGGAGACGCCUGUGAGCAGACUGUGCUCUGAUUGACCCGCGACCGGCUCCCCCUCACCCAGCGCGGUGUCAGAGAGCGCUGAGCCCGGCUGUAACCUGACGCUAGUCUGGGAGAUAAAUGUGUUUGACUUUAGAAGCCCCCCCACCCCCGCGAGGCGCAGUCAGCAUUGUGUGAACCGGUCCGGCCAGCCCCCCCCCCUCGGCCGGCCUGGAUCAUCGGGGGGGGGGGGGGUCACAGGGAAGCCCCGCGCCGCCGCCGCCGCUGUCUCUGCGUCGGAGGGCGUGCGCCGUGUCACUCUGUCUCCGCGGGAACGCGCUCCGCGUCCGUGAGGACAGGUGCGCUGAGGAUAUGUUUGCCGUCCUGCGGGCUGUCCCCUCAGCCGCAGGGCCCCGGAGUUCCAGGGCCGCUCCUCGUCCUGGGAGACGCUCUGUCCGCCUCAGGUGGGGAGGGCUGUUUUUCCGGCGUCGGCCAGGAACGCUGCCCUCCGCUGGCUCCCAGGGUGAUUCUGUGCAUUUAAGGAAACGAGGGCAAAGCUGAUUCGGGGUCAUGAUCUGGUUGAGCAUGGAUGAUGGAUCUCCUGUCCCAGCAUUGGACACCCUAAUAUGAUAUGUUCCCAUAGCAUUGACUUAAGCAUUUCGGUUCCCAUAAUCCUUUGCACAGGUAGGGAUAUGGCUCCACUAACCUGCGGGAAAGCUUAAAUAUCCAUAUCAAGUAGUGCUUGAAGUGAAAAACGUACAAGUGGCAGUACUCAUACAAGCAAAAUCUAGAAGUUCCAGCACCAGUCCUUACCAUUUUUGAGCCAAACUAACCUUGAAAAGAUUGGACCCCUUGCACUGCCAGCUUUUAUAGAAAUACCGGGUCAAGACAGUCCUUUCACAAGUUGUUUAACGAGGUAAUCUACAGUUUUACAAGCAGUUUGUGAGUCGCAUAAAGUGGGUCCACUCAGAAUUCCGAAUUCCAUUAAUGCAUCAGAAGGUGACAGCUGUUGUCAGAAUUCUAAUCUCAGGGCAACAUUCAUGGGAUUAGACAAAGAAAGGGGUUGGGAAUUAUAUAUGCAUGUCUUAGGUAGAUGGAAGUAACAUAUUGUAUUACAUUCACCUGAUAGAUUUCAUCCUAGUAUAUAACCAAAGCCCUGUGGUGCAUUUCUUGAAUUGUUGCUGCCUGUCGGAUCUCUCUUACUGUAGUUGAACUGAUAACAUCUGUUUUCGUAGCCUACCAACGUUCAAACCAAACCCCUUUGGUUUGCGCGCUGCACUCGGAAUCAGUGGACAUGUCUUUUCACAACGUGAAAUCCUGAUUAAGCAGAUCGUCCGUGCCAGAUACGGUAACAACACACCGCAUGAACCUGUCUGCGGCAGCAGCAGCAGAACCGUGCUGUUAAUCCUCCUGGUGUUUCUUGAUUGCGCGCAGG